rnacentral:rRNA from 1 species
AUUGAACGCUGGCGGCAUGCUUUACACAUGCAAGUCGAACGGUAACAGGCCUUCGGGUGCUGACGAGUGGCGAACGGGUGAGUAAUGCAUCGGAACAUACCCAGUCGUGGGGGAUAACGUAGCGAAAGUUACGCUAAUACCGCAUACGUCCUGAGGGAGAAAGCGGGGGAUCGCAAGACCUCGCGCGAUUGGAGUGGCCGAUGUCAGAUUAGCUAGUUGGUGGGGUAAAGGCCCACCAAGGCGACGAUCUGUAGCGGGUCUGAGAGGAUGAUCCGCCACACUGGGACUGAGACACGGCCCAGACUCCUACGGGAGGCAGCAGUGGGGAAUUUUGGACAAUGGGGGAAACCCUGAUCCAGCCAUGCCGCGUGCGGGAAGAAGGCCUCGGUGUAACGCUUCUAGCGAAGAAUACGCACGACCGAAUACUCUGUGUGGA